rnacentral:rRNA from 1 species
UACGUAGGGGGCAAGCGUUGUCCGGAAUUAUUGGGCGUAAAGAGCGUGUAGGCGGCCAGAUAAGUCCGCUGUGAAAUCUCGAGGCUCAACCUCGAGACGUCGGCGGAAACCAUCUGGCUAGAGUCCGGAAGAGGAGAGUGGAAUUCCUGGUGUAGCGGUGAAAUGCGCAGAUAUCAGGAAGAACACCCGUGGCGAAGGCGGAUCUCUGGGCCUUACCUGACGCUCAGGUGCGAAAGCUAGGGGAGCGAACAGG